UAGCCAAGCCGUCUGUAGUGAAAACCACAGACCGGGGAGCUGCUCGGACCUCCUGUUUGAAGUAGAACACUCUCAGAACAUGAGCUGGAGCCCCCUACCAAAGUAAGAUGAGCCCACAAUAAGUCACACCCGCCUUUCGUCUGUAAAGUGAGGACAGCAAUACAGCACGCUCGGAGUGACAAAGCAAAAGCCGUGGUGACCGCCACUGAUAGCCAGAAGCCCUGGAAAACUCGAUGCAGUGUCUGAGAAACCAAAGGAGGCAACACCGCCAUGGAGUCAAAGGGAUAGGUGGAGGCCAAAGGGCCUCUCACCUGCCUCAUCUGAGACACUAGGUCCCUGUGCUGAUCAGGAGGGCCUGGAGGGGGAAGAAGUACUCAUUAGUAACGACUUAUAUUUCCCAUUGGCUUUGACAUGAGCUUUGUCUCCCUCGGCCAGUGAACUAUUAUGUCCCAGCCCCCUAUUGUGCAUUGUGACAUAGCUACAUGCACAGGAAGUUAGUGACGAGACACUGCUAGGCACUGGCAUAUGGUGGAGUCUCCGGGCGAGAGCCCAAAGUGGACAAAUUGUUAAAAUUGUUUGUAUCGUGUGAGACCGUCGGGCAUAAGCGUCACAUGCAGAACGGCCAAUAAAGGCUCAAAUGUAUUUCAGACAGUGUCAAGAAUUCUAACUUUGCUAGUAAAUACUUCCUAGGUGUGAGACACUCGCAAUGCACUGGCAGGACUAAGAGAUACACCACUGGCAUGCUUUCUAAUAAAUUGCCAAGCUAAUGGGUGAGGGAGAAACAAAUUGAGCCAGACUGGAAAGGAAACUGCAGUAAAUGAAGAUUAGAAGCCAAGUAGCAUGCUCUGAAAGCUGCAAGAGAGAGCGACCAUUUCUCCUGGCAGCGUGGUAAACACGGUGGCAUCUGGGCUGAUAUCGAAGAAGAAAUCGAUAGAUGGAAAUAGGGAUGGAGGUCCUGAGGCUGAGAGAGGCAGGGGCAACGGUCCAGCAUCACACCACUAGGAUGUGCCUCUGCCUGCAAAGGCACUCCUGCCUACGUUCUGUGCACUGAGCAUCAUCACCAACCCAUGAGAGAGAAUCUGAGAAAUCAGAGAGGAGAAGGCAUGAGGAGAAGAGAAGAAGCAAUCCUUCCCUGUGCCUAGAAUCUAGGGAACAGGAAGGGAGAAAUUCUGAGGAAAGAUUAUAGGUUCCCAGGCAAUCACACUGCCUUUGGUUGUUUUUAAAAAGCACUUCUUAGUUGCACGUUAUUCAUUUUCAAGAAUUCAUCAUUUAUAAAACUAAAGUUGUGUGAGACUUUCCCCUGAAAAACCAAAAAUAUCUUUUAUUCUUAUUGUGUUUUCCAGAAGCUUUAUCAGAGGUACUAAUAACCCAAUAAUGGGUGAAAACUAUGCCAUUAAGUUUAAUGAAAGUCCUUCAUUUAUUUUCUCAUUUAAGCCUCAAAUAAUUCUCUGAAGGGGAUAGAACAUAAAUUAUUAUCUUUGUUCUAUAUAUGAAGAAAGAACAUUUUAAAUACUUUCUAUAUGCCAGGAACUAUGUUAAGUCAUGCAGAUAUAAAUCCUGGAAACCAGCGCAUACCUGUUCUUUUGAAGCUUGCCUUCCAUUGGGGAAGACCAUACAUAUGUGUUGUUGUACAUACUGGUCUGUAAGGAAGGGCAUCUUUGUUCUGGGAAGUAAAAAAGAUCAUAAAUGGAAGUGGAGUAACGGAUUAACACACCCUCUUCCCAGGAGUGGCUGUGUGCUUUGAGGACAAGUUCCAAAGAGUUGAAAGCAGGAACAGAAGACGGAAAAGAAAGUGUAUUAUAUAGCAGACAUGUAGUCAAAGUGCAUUGUGAUCUGGCAUAUCUAGACACUAUUUAUUCUCUCCAUCUGGGAAACCAUGUUAAGGGAUGAUCUAGGGAUGGGACAUAUAGCUAAGAUACAUGGCAGAAAGAUAUAUGGGAACAAAGGAAAAUGUCACAGUAAAAUGGGUCACAGAAAGACUGGCAAACUACCAGUAAAUGUCAGAGUUCAGCUUUGAAUCAAGUUAUCAGUUUCAGGACUAGCCCCUUUCCCUUUAGACCAUACUAUUAAAAUACUUGGAUUGUGUUUUGAGUUCUUCCAAAGCCUGAGGCCAAUUUGCUGGAGUUCCUGCGUUUUUGCUUGGUGUUCCUUGGUCUUCCUCUGUUCCAUUUGCUCUUUAUUCAUUACCUGGAUAAAAGCUAUUGAUUGUAAUUUUUUUCUUUUUCUGCUACUUACUCAUAUUUCUUCCUUCUUUCCCAUUCUGUCAUUGGUUGUAAUAUUGCUCCUCUGUUUAUUUACUGGAUCUGUGGAUUGGGGCCAUUCUAUCCUAAAGUGGCAUCUUCUUAGCUCUGCUGAUUGCCUAGAUUAGGUUGAUGAAGUAUUCCGGAGCCCUGAGGUCAGAUCCUCCCUUGCUGGCAGCAGAAGCUGAAGAUAUAGGUGAAGGUGUGGAGGCUGAAGGGAGCUGGCCUUCCUGCCCUGUUAUCAAGAUUAGAUUAAUCCAGAGGGAUGUGCCCUGAGGCCAAAAUCUCAAGAAGUGGAGGCCCAAGAUGGAGAGUAAUGGCUGGGACCAGGCUGUCCGCACCUAUCCUCCAGCUGCCUCCCUGCCAACUGUGGUCAGCACCUUGAGCCUGGCACAAGCUAUAACAUCAAGCUAACUCAUGUUGCCUCAUGUCACGGAAAGCUCUAAAUGGGUUUGGAAGAGAAGAAUGACUUGAUCGCUGUCUCGGAGAAUUGCCUAGUUGGAUAGGACAGAAGAGGUUGCCAACUGUACCUGAAUGAGAAUCCCCUAUAGGGCAUAAAUGGAAAAUAGUUGGCAGAUUCUGAUGAAAGGAGUGGUAGAGAACUCAUUACUUUCUGGCAUAACUACAUUCAUGUUUGGAUAAUUCUAUUGGUUAGGAAGCAUUAAUUUACAUGAAGUCUAAGUUUACCUCUCUGAAUCCUUAAUUCUCUUCCUUUACUUUUCAACCCUUUAUAAUCAACUUCAAUUUCAUAGGAAAGUUCUCUGCCCAAUGUUUUUAUUGAUCCCCUAUUAUUAAAUUUAAUCAUCUUAUAGAAGUCCUCAUAGUAUAUUCUCAGAGCAACUGAUCCUGCUUUCCACAUGGACUUUAUCUCCUCAGGAUCCCCCUCCCUAUAUGUUCAAUGAUCAUUAUGCCAUUUUCUAUCCUAGAUUUGUGAUCCGUUUCCUCUUCCUGCCCAAGUGGUAUAUUACAGAGUAAGAAUAAAACCAUUUAUAUUUAUGCCCUCAUUCAUCUGAAAGUUGACGUUCUCCACUCCCUGUGCUUCCCCACUUUGGUUAUGUGAUAUCCCCAGGUAUAGUGAAGUAUGAAGUGGGCAUCUGAUGACCAAUUGUCAGGGAGACUUCAGAGUUCUGUUCCCAGAUUCUUGGACAAAUUCAGACUAUACUAGGUGUUUUGAGAUUCUUUCUGAAUUUAAACAUCUGUAAUUCUGUGAAAAGAUUAAAUGACUAAUUGGAUGUGGGUUAAGGUAAAGGAAAGAGUAAGAGAUGACAGUGUAAUUAUGAAUUUGACUAACUGGGAGAAUAGUGACUCCAGCAGCAGCCAGAGCGAGGCUAGUAAGAGGAACAGACAUAAAGGUUAAGAUGAUUUUGAAUUAGACAUAUUGAUUUGAUGACAUAUUGAUUCCCAAACCCUCAAACUAGUCAUUUAGAAUCAUCCUGUUGGUAUUUCAGUCAGAGAGACAAGGAGAGACAGAGAGACAGGGGGAGAGAGAGAGAGAGAUACACACGUCUAGUCCCUAAAAAAAAAAACAUGGAAUCCAAAACACAUGGGAUAGAGCAUGUCAUUUACUCCAAUUGUUCCUGGUUGCUAUCAUUCCUUUGAUCGAUGUUCUGGGCCUUCAAUGAAACAAAUGGAUAUUUUUAGCUCAUUUCUCAAAGGACAGACUUGUAACUGUAUGAGAAUUGUUAUCAUCUCUAGCACUAAUUGGGAGCUUCUUCUUUUUUAACAGCCUCAGUAGGGACACUGGAUCGAAAAAAACAUAAGGAAUUCACUUUAGAAAGUUCCAAUUCAAGUUAAGGCUGGUUUAAAGGUAGGAUAAAUGUAAGAGAAGCUGAUAGGCAUCAGGAAAGUCCAUCAGGGCUCUUCUAAUAAUUAAUUCAUUUGGAAAAGCUCUCUAGGUCCAUGGGUAACUAGUUGCUAAGGAUGUCAUGAACAUAUAUUGUAAGUAUUAAAAUCAUCACUUUAGUCAAGAUGGAAUUUUCAGGACUUUAGUCUCCCCCCUCACUCUCACUCCAGCAAUCUCUCCCCAUAGUAUUUUUAAACCACAUUCUGUGCAAUGGUCUCAAUUUGUCUUCGGGUGAGAGGAAAACAUUUACGAAUCCUUUGAUGUGUUACUAGAUUGAAGGAAAUUCGCAAAUAUCGAUUAUGUCAAUCUUUAACCAAAAAGUCUCAAGUUAAGUUAUUGCUGUUUUCCCAGGAUAUGUUAUUAAAGAAAUAAAUUCUGUUAUAUUUGAAGAAUAAGGAGAAGUUUCAUGGUAAUGGGAUAAAACAUUUGUUCCUUUAUAUUUUGUUCUAACAAUCCCAAUUAAAUACCUACACAAUUAUACU